CGCCUCUUGAACAAAUAUAAGAGGUCCAGCCCUGCCCAGUGACUCUGUUCAACGGCCGCGGUAUCCUAACCGUGCGAAGGUAGCGUAAUCACUUGUUCUUUAAAUAAGGACUAGUAUGAAUGGCACCACGAAGGUUAUACUGUCUCCUCUUUUUAAUCAGUGAAACUAAUCUCCCCGUGAAGAAGCGGGGAUAAAACUAUAAGACGAGAAGACCCUAUGGAGCUUUAAACCAUGUAGCACUUGCACCUAUCAAACACAAAUUCCAGAAAAAUACACUUCACCCAUGCAAGAUUGCUGCCAGUUUUAGGUUGGGGUGACCGCGGAGCAAAAAUAAACCUCCACAUUGAAAGGAACCCACUCCUUAGCCAAGAGUUACACCUCUACGCACCAUAAAAAUGACAUUAAUUGACCCAAUAUUUUGAUCAACGAACCAAGUUACCCUAGGGAUAACAGCGCAAUCCACUUUAAGAGCUCCUAUCGACAAGUGGGUUUACGACCUCGAUGUUGGAUCAGGGUAUCCCGGUGGUGCAGCCGCUACCAAAGGUUCGUUUGUUCAACGAUUAAAACCCU
rnacentral:rRNA from 1 species